AUUUAUGUCUCCGUGAUAGUGUUGUUGGCAUGAUUGGGUUUGAGAUCAGUGCCUAUGGCGGAGCGCGGUGAGGGGACCGCAGGGGGGUCACACUCACGAGCCACCACCAGUGGGGCCCACACUGCCGCAACCAGAAAUAGACGAAUGGGGAUAGAUGAUGAAGGCAUCUCGAAUUACCAAUGAGUUUAAUUCAAAUUUAAGGGAGGUGUUGGACCAGGAAUCAGCUGGUUGGGUCAGGUGUGGAGGGGUUGGAGGCAAUCGGGAGACCCCUACCCUUGCGCAAACGCAAAUUUGGUCUCGCAGAAGAUUUUCAUACUAAAAGACGAAAUAGUGAAAGUCAUACCAAGCCAACA